rnacentral:rRNA from 1 species
AGGAUAAACGCUGGCGGCGUGCCUAACACAUGCAAGUCGAACGUCCUGUCUCGCAAGAGGCAGGGAGUGGCGGACGGGUGAGUACCACGUGGGUCAUCUACCGUGAGGUGAGGAAUACCGGCGAGAAAUCGCCGACAAGACCGCAUAGCCUCGGUGCAAGUCGAGGAAAGCUCUCUCGAGAGAGGGAGCGCCACACGAGGAGCCUGCGCCCGAUUAGCUAGCUGGUGGAGUAAUGGUUCACCAGGGCGACGAUCGGUAGCUGGUCUGAGAGGACGAUCAGCCACACUGGGAUUGAGACACGGCCCAGACUCCUACGGGAGGCAGCAGUCGGGAAUUUUUGCUCAAUGGACGAAAGUCUGAAGCAGCAACGCCGCGUGAGGGAUGAAGGCCUUCGGGUUGUAAACCUCUUUUAUCAGGACGAUAAUAGACGGUACCUGAUGAAUAAGUCACGGCUAACUACGUGCAGCAGCCGCGGUAAU